AUGAUUUUGAUUUUGAUUAAUUUUGAAUUAAUUGAGAUUUACAAAAAAAACUGAAACUGAGAAAGUGGAAAACAUCCCAAUUUUGACAAAAAGAAGGUGUUUCCUCCUUAAAUCACCACUUAGCCAAUUAUCUUCAUGAUCUGAGUUGAAUAAAACUCUUCAUUUUGAUAGAAGGUGUAAGGUUUUUUGCUAUUGAAAUUAGUUUCUGUAGAAAAGUUUAUUCAUCAUCUUCAAAUUUUUUUUCCUUCAUAAAUUUACUUCAAUUUGAAGUUCCGCCACUCAAAUUCAAGGCUAAGAAUAGUAGAAAAGAUCUCUGUAGUUCACUGUUGAAUUGGAGCUGAAACCACGUGAAGAGCAGCUUGGAAUUGGGGAAAUUCAUCUAAGAUCCUAACAGUCAUAGACUCGAAAACUAACUAUAAGCUGCUAUUGGGAUGUCAUGGAUUCAUGGAAAUGGGGUCAUAACAUCAACACUACAUCAAUAUUUCAAGUUCAAUCAAAAUGGGAUUAGGAAAUUUGAAGUAGACUCUAAUCCAUUUUCAGAAGCUAAGUCUCACUUCGUAGAUGUGAAGUUUUAUUUGAAGAGUGGGGGUGUUAGUGAGGCAAUACAUGUGGAGACUCUAUUAAUAAAAAUAUGGAGGUGAAUCCAAGUCAAAAUCACAAGCAGAUGUAGGGAAAGAAAUAGACGACAAGGCACGAGCCUCUGAUCUUGCGCUAUGUUCCUUUUAUAUGUCUCUACAGUCGAGUGCUUCACUAAUCUCUUGUCUUCGACGCUCAAAAUAUAGUAUUGUGCGAUAAAAUAUUAGCCUAACCAAAGAAGUAAUUGGUAAUAUUCUAGCACCUUUGAAAAUAGCAUUUAUGCAUUCAGGUGCAUUGCUUGUCAUCUACCCAUAGCGGUACCCACUGUCAUGUGAUUGGGUCCAUUUUUUCAAGUCAAUAUCAGAAAAAUAUUCAAGGCAUUCAGGGUUCAAUUGUUUCAAUUCUUUCAUGUA